rnacentral:rRNA from 1 species
AGCUCCAAUAGCGUAUAUUAAAGUUGUUGCAGUUAAAAAGCUCGUAGUUGGAUUUCUGGUGGGAGUGCUUGGUCGGCCCUAACGGGUUUGCACUGACGCGCUUUCGCCAUCCUUGGGGAGAGCUUCCUUGGCAUUAGGUUGUCGAGGUCGGGAUCCCCAUCGUUUACUGUGAAAAAAUUAGAGUGUUCAAAGCAGGCUUACGCCGUUGAAUACAUUAGCAUGGAAUAAUAAGAUAGGACCUUGGUACUAUUUUGUUGGUUUGCGUACCUAGGUAAUGAUUAAUAGGGACAGUUGGGGGUAUUCGUAUUCAAUUGUCAGAGGUGAAAUUCUUGGAUUUAUGGAAGACGAACUACUGCGAAAGCAUUUACCAAGGAUGUUUUCA